CGUCGACUGCCCGAAAUUAUGCGAUAAAGAUGUAUGUUCGUUCUUUAGAAAACGAUUCAAUUUAUCCUUUUUAAAAGGUUUCCUUAUUUGACCCGGCUGGAAAUUUAAUAAAUAAAACCUCUUACGGAAUUUGGAUCGAGAUCGGCAACUACACUUAUCUCCUGGGAAACAAGCCGAUGUCCUGGCUGUCCAACUACCUCCGUUGCUGCGCCUUGGGAAUGGAGACGCUCAACAUUGACAACUUGGCCGAGCAAAAAGGCCUGAAUAAAUUUUCUCUCGACUUCAA